UACGUAGGGUGCGAGCGUUGUCCGGAAUUAUUGGGCGUAAGAGCUCGUAGGCGGUUUGUCACGUCUGCUGUGAAAUCCCGAGGCUCAACCUCGGGCCUGCAGUGGGUACGGGCAGACUGGAGUGCGGUAGGGGAGAAUGGAAUUCCUGGUGUAGCGGUGGAAUGCGCAGAUAUCAGGAGGAACACCGAUGGCGAAGGCAGUUCUCUGGGCCGUAACUGACGCUGAGGAGCGAAAGCGUGGGGAGCGAACAGG
rnacentral:rRNA from 1 species